UACAGAGGCCCAAGCGUUACUGAGAAUCACUGGGUUAAAGGGUGCGUAGGUGGUCCGUUAAGUUCGUUGUGAAAGCCCUGGGCUCAACCCAGGAACUGCUUCGAAUACUGGCGGACUUGAGGCGAGUAUGGGUCACUGGAACUGACGGUGGAGCGGUGAAAUGCGUAGAUAUCGUCAGGAACGCCAAUGGUGAAGACACGGUGACUGGGCUCGAGUCUGAGCCACUGAGGCACGGAAAGCGUGGGGGAGCGAAACGGG
rnacentral:rRNA from 1 species